rnacentral:rRNA from 1 species
UACGGAGGGUGCGGGCGUUAUCCGGAUUCACUGGGUUUAAAGGGUGCGUAGGUGGGAAUGUAAGUCAGUGGUGAAAUCUCUGAGCUUAACUCAGAAACUGCCAUUGAUACUAUGUUUCUUGAAUUUUCUGGAGGUCAGCGGAAUAUGUCAUGUAGCGGUGAAAUGCUUAGAUAUGACAUAGAACACCAAUUGCGAAGGCAGCUGGCUACAGGGAUAUUGACACUGAGGCACGAAAGCGUGGGGAUCAAACAGG